rnacentral:rRNA from 2 species
GGACUACUGGGGUAUCUAAUCCUGUUUGCUCCCCACGCUUUCGUGCAUGAGCGUCAGUGUUAGCCCAGGGGGCUGCCUUCGCCAUCGGUGUUCCUCCACAUCUCUACGCAUUUCACUGCUACACGUGGAAUUCCACCCCCCUCUGCCACACUCCAGCCCGCUAGUUUCCAAUGCAAUUCCCAGGUUAAGCCCGGGGCUUUCACAUCAGACAUCACGAACCGCCUGCGCACGCUUUACGCCCAGUAAUUCCGAUUAACGCUCGCACCCUACGUAUUACCGCGGCUGCUGGCAC